AAAGUUUAUAUCAGAAUUGAAAAAAAAAAAAAGAGAUUUUAAAACAAUAAUUAAGUCAAUUUGUUCUUGUUCAACACAGGGUGGACAUGGAGAAGAGUGAUCAGCUCAUAACCUUCUCUAUUUUAAGACUAUUGAAGUACCCCGCCCAAGCUACCUCCUAAAUUAAAACACACAAUUAUUUUUGCCAAGAGAUUUUCCACUUCCAACAUACCUUGCUAAGAAGAUUCAAUCAGCUAUAAUCUUUAAAGCAGGAACACCAGACUUCCCUCCUCAGUCUUAUAGGACCUCGAUCACACCUGCCAUCGCCUUGUCUGAAAAGCAUCAUUUGGCAAUUUGCGCAGAGUGACGAGCGCCGCGCUGAGCUAGGGGUUAGUUUUUCUGAGACUCCAUCCGGACGUGCAAUUGCAAUGUUUGCUGGACAAGGGUUGUUCAGCUCUGGCUGGACGGCAGCGUCUCCCUGCCCGUGGGUAGGCACGCCAGGCAGACCUCAAACCAACUGAGGGAAACCUGAAAAUCCAAUCUAGCCUUCCGGAAUUUGAUUUGUAGGAAAAUGAGGAACAAGGCUUUACAGAGGGAUUUCAAAUAAAUCAUAAUUAAUUACAUGUGCAAAGGCAUCGACUACAUUGGGGCACACAGUGAACAAAUGAGCAGCAGCUCGGCGAGGCCACCGAUGGGGACCUGCAGCCGUGCCCGGAGCCUGCCCAGGUGCUGCUGACUGCUGCCAGCACCCUGCAGCAGCACCUGGGCAGCUCGUUUUCAGUGUUAGGCACCCAUCUGUUUGCUUCUUUUUUUGUUUUGUUUUGUUUUUGUUCUUAAUGGGUCAAAUACACAGUGUCUUGAAAGUGCAUCCAAAAAGAUCUUUCUGGAGUGUCAGUGCAGAACAAAAUACAAUCUUUAUGGGAUAACUGGAGAUAUAAAACUUACAUUCAAUUAAAAGCGGUUUAUACAAUUAGAAAGAAGUGUCUCUCCCAGCUCUCUCCCUUGAGUACUGACAUCCCAUUUAACUCCUCCACAAG